GGAGGGCGGAUGGAAUGUUGAUCUUUUGUGCAAAGGAGGUGGAGUUCAAAAUGAAGAAGUCUUGCUAUAAUUGUAGAGCAAGUCCAGGCAAAUCCUGGACUUACACGCUGGUGCCUAAAUGCAGUUCAAAUAGCUAAAGCGAGACACAAGACACUGCAGGUGCUUGAAUCUUGAGCCAAAAACAAACUGCUGGAGGAACGCAGUGGGUCAGGCAGCAUCUGUGGAGGGAAAUAGACAGGUGACCUUUGAGUCUGGACCUUUCUUCCUUCAAGAUUGGAGCAGAAGUAGCUGGGAGAAAUAAUUUAGUGGAAGGGGUGGGGCAAGAGCUGGCAAGUGAUAUGUGGAUCCAGAGGGUUGAAUAUCACGUUCAUGUGAAAAUGAUCCAUGUUGGAUCUGCAGAUGAGAUGCAAGAUGGUUCAAGUUGCUGGUGGACAGAGGGGCAGGGUACGGCCCACACCUGCAUCACACACGGCAACACACAGAGCCACCUCGCGCCUCCCGACUAGAUUCUUUUCUGUAAUCGAGACAGAAAGCUCCUCCAACAUGCCCAGUUUCUGUUCACCCGCUGAGUUACUCCAGCUUUUUGUGCCCAUCGUUGUUGAUACUCACCUUGUCUGGGAGCUCCCCCCAAGUUCCUGAUGUAUGCCCGGGAUCCUCCACAGCCAUUUUCUCAGCAACUUCAAGUGAUCGGACUUGACAGUAAAUGGAACGAAGGAUUGAUCAGAUCUGCUGACAAAGAAUAUGACUUUGUUUUUGCUGUCAUUAAAGUUGGCAAUCCUAGCCAGU